rnacentral:rRNA from 1 species
CACGCCCUAAACGAUGCGAACUGGACGUUGGGCUCAAUUGAGAGUUCAGUGUCGAAGCUAACGCGUUAAGUUCGCCGCCUGGGGAGUACGGUCGCAAGACUGAAACUCAAAGGAAUUGACGGGGGCCCGCACAAGCGGUGGAGUAUGUGGUUUAAUUCGAUGCAACGCGCAGAACCUUACCUGGUCUUGACAUCCACGGAAUCCUUUAGAGAUAGAGGAGUGCCUUCGGGAACCGUGAGACAGGUGC